rnacentral:tRNA from 1 species
GUCCUCAUAGUACAAUGGAUAGUACGGCCGCCUCCUAAGCGGCAAAUUCAGGUUCGACUCCUGAUGAGGGCACCA